AGCAGUCGCCGCGGUAAUACGAAGGGUGCAAGCGUUAAUCGGAAUUACUGGGCGUAAAGCGUGCGUAGGCGGUUUGUUAAGUCUGUUGUGAAAUCCCCGGGCUCAACCUGGGAAUGGCAAUGGAUACUGGCAAGCUAGAGUGUGUCAGAGGAUGGUGGAAUUCCCGGUGUAGCGGUGAAAUGCGUAGAGAUCGGGAGGAACAUCAGUGGCGAAGGCGGCCAUCUGGGACAACACUGACGCUGAGGCACGAAAGCGUGGGGAGCAAACAGGAUUAGAGACCCCCGUAGUCCCUGUCUCUUAUAC
rnacentral:rRNA from 1 species